AAAUAAAUCACCCAUGGAAACUGAAUAAAGAGAUGCUACUGGGAUGCCCCAAGGCCCGGUGACUAUAGGGCCACAUACAGAGGAGGGAACAAUAAGAAGAUAAUACAAUAUGGACAGGGGGCUGUUGCUAUGCGAAAUUCCAGACACCCACUAGGGUGGGCAAUGGAUGGGUUAAGGCAGAGUCAAUCUGCCUCUCUCAGGAUGACAGCUGUUGCUAGGGAAGCCAGCAAUUACCAAAGAAGGCCAUAGAGACAUUGCUUAUGAAUCCGUCAACAGGUUAUGGAAAAAUAUGCAUCUUGCUUUAUAACUGACAAGCAAGACCUGCCUCUAAAUAAGAGUGGUUUGUUACUUUAUUCAGCAAUCAUUUAAUAAGUGCCCACACCACUCCAACUCCGGACACCUAGUGAACAUUGAAUGAAUUUUCUGAAUUAGCAGAGCUGUGAAAAAAACCUGCCAAGUAUGCAUCCUUGAUUGAUUGAUUACACAUGUCAUGGAUUUCAAGUUUUUAAAAAAUACAAUAAAAUUU
rnacentral:lncRNA from 1 species